rnacentral:rRNA from 1 species
GAGUUUGAUCCUGGCUCAGGACGAACGCUGGCGGCGUGCCUAAUACAUGCAAGUCGAGCGAGCUUGCCUAGAUGAUUUUAGUGCUUGCACUAAAUGAAACUAGAUACAAGCGAGCGGCGGACGGGUGAGUAACACGUGGGUAACCUGCCCAAGAGACUGGGAUAACACCUGGAAACAGAUGCUAAUACCGGAUAACAACACUAGACGCAUGUCUAGAGUUUGAAAGAUGGUUCUGCUAUCACUCUUGGAUGGACCUGCGGUGCAUUAGCUAGUUGGUAAGGUAACGGCUUACCAAGGCAAUGAUGCAUAGCCGAGUUGAGAGACUGAUCGGCCACAUUGGGACUGAGACACGGCCCAAACUCCUACGGGAGGCAGCAGUAGGGAAUCUUCCACAAUGGACGAAAGUCUGAUGGAGCAACGCCGCGUGAGUGAAGAAGGGUUUCGGCUCGUAAAGCUCUGUUGGUAGUGAAGAAAGAUAGAGGUAGUAACUGGCCUUUAUUUGACGGUAAUUACUUAGAAAGUCACGGCUAACUACGUGCCAGCAGCCGCGGUAAUACGUAGGUGGCAAGCGUUGUCCGGAUUUAUUGGGCGUAAAGCGAGUGCAGGCGGUUCAAUAAGUCUGAUGUGAAAGCCUUCGGCUCAACCGGAGAAUUGCAUCAGAAACUGUUGAACUUGAGUGCAGAAGAGGAGAGUGGAACUCCAUGUGUAGCGGUGAAAUGCGUAGA